GCCUUCUUUAGAGGAUAAGGUUGUUAGUUGGCAUCAGUAUAGGCUGUUCUCAAGCCAAGGCCAAGUGAGUGUCCUUAAAAUGCAGAGAGGAGGGAGAAAGGAGGGAGAAAGGGUUUUGGCAGAUAUCUUAUUAAAUGAAAUCUCUAAACAAACACAACAAUAAAUCCCACUUGAUAAUAAGUGACGCAUCUACAGCAAACUCCAGAAAGGUUGUUCGUUGAGUGGGUUCAUAGUAAAGGUGGCAGGUAGCCUCGCAGUUAGAGCGUUGGGCUAGUAUGUGAAAGGUCACUGGUUUGAAUUCCCAAGCAGACAAGGUGAAAAAUCGGUUGAUGUGCCCUUGAGCAAGGCAGUUACCCCUAAUUCUCUCCAGGGGUGUUGUACUACUAUGGCUGACUGGUUAAAACAACACUGCAUCCAUCCAGUGUAUGUGACAAUAAAACAUAUUUUUUAUGAUUAUUUGGGUAAGGCUUUGUAGGGGAGAGUGGGGUAAGUUGAGCCACCCUUGUUUCUAGGAAACCAUACACAAAAUGAAUUAUUUGACCAAAUAUUUAGGAAGAGGUCAUUUCAUGGACUCCGUGAAGGGAUAAACUACACUGAAAAAGUGGGACAGGAGAAACUGUAUCUAGGCCAACCUGCAUCUCCACCAGUAUUUGAGUGGAGGAUACUGUCUGCAAUGGAAAAAAGGUCAACACGGUGCAACAGUCCACUCCCAUUAUGGAAAUGCAUCCCAAAAUUCUCCAAAAUCCACCAUAUCCCAAGUCUCAUCUUAAAGGUUUUGUCAAGGACAAGCAAGCAGACCACGAACAAUUAAACUCUAAACCGGACACACAAAGAUCCCACAUCUACACAGGCUGCUGAACAUCUCUUCCAUGCUUCAGGGAGUGUGACAUAAUCUGUGUGGAUGGACUAAUUGACUACUUGAUUGAGUUCCCUGAAACAAUUGAUCCAGCCUAGCAGCAAGUCAACACCUGACUCCGGACUUCGUUUUCCCCGUUGUAGACAGAAUCCAUGAGGGCCUAAACAUCUCUCUGCAUUGUGCCACUCAGGAUUAGAGGAGAUGGAUGGACAUUGAAAAUAGAGAGGGUCUGGAAUUCUCCCCUGGAGGACUCAGUCAUGCUGAACGCUGACAUCUGAACGCAGCAGGGGGACUGCAUGCCUACUGCCUUGACUUCAGUACUUCCUGCAGUCAAACGACCAAAUCGCCCUCUAGUGGCCUCAUGGGUGGAAUGUUAUUCAUAAUUUCCUAAUUAAUAAAUAUUUUUUUAUCCGGUG
rnacentral:lncRNA from 1 species